GGAUCAGAUUGUCGGUCGUGCCUCGGUACGCACUGGCAUUAUUGGUUCCUACCUUCUGAGGAACUUUCAUGCCAUUUAGUUGGUGUGAUAGGAAAUCAGGACUGUUACUUUGAAAAAAUUAGAGUGUUUAAAGCAGGCUAACGUCUGAAUACAUUAGCAUGGAAUAAUGAAAUAGGACGGAUUGGUUCUAUUUCGUUGGUUUCUAGGAUCACCGUA
rnacentral:rRNA from 1 species